rnacentral:lncRNA from 1 species
CAUUUUCCAGUCAGGACAUGAAUGUUUGGGAAAUCCUCUGGACUAGUGGGAGAAGCUAUGACAGUGGACCUGCCUGAUCUUUCUGCAGCCAAAUACAUCUGUGUGAUCACCAGCAUCGUUAUGUAAAGUAAUUUGUCCUGAGCUGUGAUGUCCUGUAAGGCUACAGUGCUUCUCUUAGAGCAACUCUUGAAUAUGGCAGAUAGAAGAAGUGAGGACCUCUUGGAAAUCUCYGUGGCACUUGGAGAAGGGGUGCCUCUGCUUAAACUCCAGGAAAGAGUUAAUGAAGGCAAAGCUUGUCUGGCCGAGGGGCUGGUACGGCUCCAGUGGAGCUAUGACUCACAUGUUGRACACCCUGCCAAAGCACGAGGCAGGUUCCUGGGCCUCAGAUCUUCUGCUCCCAAUAGGAAUAAUGUGAAUCGGUCUAGCAUCGUGGUUGUAAAGUGCUGACCCCCAGUAAUCCGGCGAGGGCUCUCUAUGGGACGGAAGGAGGCAGAGUAAUUUACAUGAGUGAGGAAAUGGCCAAAGGAAGGACAGAAGAAGAAAAAUUGAUGGGAAGCAACCCACAAGGAGAAGUUACUAGGUGAGUUUUCAGAACAAGAUGAGUCCUGGAGCUGACCACAUUUGAUACUUCUCAUCACCAAGCUUGGCUCAAAAAGAAGAGCGGAGAAAUGAAAUUUGCUGAUGGCAUCAUCCUUACAAAACAGGAUUAGAAGAAUAGGAUGAAGCUGAAAACUGGGGUAAUAAAAAUGUGAUUAACUUCA